CCCUCUAUUUGGAUACGCUUUAUUACAUUGGAAUUCGAUUUUUGUAAAAUACGGAAAAUUCGAUAAGGGAAUGUUCGCUUGGACAAUACUGCGGUUACUUUUAUGAUUUAUUUAUACAAUUUAAUUCUGGCGUAGGCUACCGCGUUAGAUCAGAGAUUCAAAUUACUGCAUUUUGAAGAUGCUAUGGCUAAAAGAAAUACUUUUUUUCAUAAAAAAUUCAAAGAAUCGCGCUGAUACAACGGAAUCUUCGGAUGAGUGUGAAACAGAAUACUCGUUUAAUAUUUGGAACCAGAAUAAACAUUUGGUCCACCAAAAGGUGAAAUAUAAGCUGUCAAAUUUAACUACAAUUACAGGGACGGAAGGUUGAAGAGAAAGUGUAUCUAGACUGUUACCCCUACCAAUCAGAAGCCAAUAGAGUUUGGAUUGACAUGAAUACUGUGUUUCCGGAGUUUUAUAAAUAGGCUUAUUAAUAUUUACACAUUGUGGCCCCUUCAGUGCCGACAGUGACAGUGAAAAAACUUUCCAUAUCGUUGUUUUGAAAUUCUGUUAUUUAUUGAGAAAAAACUUUAACAGAUAUAUAAUGCUAAGUGAAAUAAAAGGUACCAACUUAAGGCGUACUACAUUUCAUUAAUUUAUGCUUCUGCUUCUGUAUUCCUUAGCUUUUCACACUAAAUUUAAAAUAAGUUAAAAAAGUUCAAAAAUACAUCGAUGUAUCGAUGUUUUAAUGACCGACGAUUUUGAUUUCGAUGGGUUUUGAAGAAACAUCGAUACAUCGAACCAUCGAUGUUUCAUUUCACGAUGUUUGCAUCCCUAGUGUUAGUCAUUUAACUCCUCCUAAACGGCUGGACCGAUUUCACUAAUUCUUUUUUGUUUGUAUUCCAGGGGGAUUGAGGAUGGUUCUUACGGAGAGAAAAAUUUACAAAAAUUACCUGAAAAAGUCUAAAAUUCACAUUUUUCUAAUCUCCCAUACAAACAAUUUGUAUUCUAUAGAUAUAAAAACGAAUUGCUGUUCGUUAGUCUUGCAAAAUGUCGAGAACUGCCAUACCGAUCUGGCUAAUUUUAAUUUUGAAAUAUUCGAGCGUGGCUAAGAAAGGUUUAGCAAGGUUAUUGCAGAAGAUUGCAAUAACAGAACUUUAUAUGAGUUGACAACAAAAUUAAAAAAUAGAAAACAAAAAAUAAUAAUAUUUUGAAGGUAGUCAUUGUUGCUUUGUUAAAAUAUUUUUGUCAUUGUUACAUUGUAUAAGGUUGUGUCGAUAGCCCAAAACAAUUUGUAACAAGUAAGGUAAGGCUAAGUUUGGGUGCAACCGAACAUUUUAUACUCUCGGAAUUAAGUGAUGUAAUUUUAUUAAGAUAACACACAAUACUGACCCAUAUAUUCAUAAAGAAUAUGUAUUGUAUAUGAGGACCGUGGUAAUUCCUGAACCGAUUUCACUAAUUUUCACCAUCAAAGCAUAACGGGAAUGGGGCAAAUUGGCAACCUGUUAGUAAGCACACAAACUGUACAUUCGGCAUUGAAAUUACUCCUAAAUUACAAGUCAACGAAACAUAGAAGUGCUUUUGCAGCAAGAUCAAACUGCGAUUGUAGAUUUCUGUCUCUUUCCGGAUAUAAAACAACAAUAUAAUACCCAUAAUUGCCUGAGUGAACGACAAAUAUUGGCCGCAAAAAACAAAGAUGUCGUCGAUGUCAAUGCGACUAUUUAGAAUUCGUUACAGGAGAGGAUACAAAUUAGGAUGACGUAGCCAACUAUCCCAAAGAAUUUUUAUAAUCGUUGGAAUUGCCUGGAUUAUCACCACUUAAUUUUACAUUUAAAGUAUCAUCAGUUGUCAUCAUGAUGUAUGUAUAACAUAAAUCAACCUCGACUUUCUAAUGAAUUUUGUAUCGUCAUCGAAGCCAAGAUUGAUUGUGUAUCUUAGCCACAAAACGUGUGGCCGGGUCUGCUAGUAUGUUUAUACAUAUGUAAUUUAUAGAUAUUAUGUUUAUAUUUGAUAUUAAAGGACAUGCACACAUAUGUAAUAAAUGUCUACCACAUUAUUUAUUCCAUUAAAACCUUUGAAAUAUAAAAUAAACUAAAAAUAUUAUAUACGUAAAAUAAUAUAUAUAUAAUAUAUAUGUAUAUAUUUAAUUACUUUGGUCAAGAAUAAUUUCUAUAAUAUCUCAAAAUCAUUAACGUCCGCGCAUUUGUAAUUAUGCGUGCAUGUAAACAAAUAUCAAAGAAUCAUUCCAAUUGUGUACAUACCCAGCAGAUUUAAAAGCGAGAUCUCCUGAAAGGAGGAAUGAAGGAGACCUCCUAUUGACCUCUUUUAGGAGCAGUAAGGGAGUUUUUUUAAUUUUGUUCUUAUAUUGUGUUUUUUUUUUUAUAUUUCAUUUUAGUGUUGACCUCCUUUUGUCAUCUUUUAGGAGCAAAAAAGGAGAUUUUAUACUUCUGAUUUCCUUUAGGAGCAAUAAAGGAGAUUUUUUAAUUUUUCGUAGCUUAAAAAUCGUACUUUUGAUUAAAAAAUUACAAUUUAACGGGAAAUAAUAACUGUUAAUUUUUGUCUUCAAGCAAUUGUUCAUUUCAACUAUGUUUUUUAAAGCGUGCAGACGUAAGUGUUUUAUAUCUAUUGAGUAUUAAAUAUUUUAAAUUGAUAAUUAAAUUUACUCUAAAAGGCAUUUAAAACGCCUAGUGAAUAAAAAAUUAAAUAAUUUAUAUAAAAAACAAAAUAAUAAUACACAAAAUGAAAAUGAUGUGGAAAGUGAAAGUGAAAAUGAAAAUGAUGUGGAAAGAAAGAAACAUGGAACAAAAAAUACGGAAGCUAGAGGAAAUAUCUGCGCAGAACACUAUACUCCUGGAGCGGAUUAUUGACAUAUUUCCACCGAUGAAGAUUGAAUUAAUGAUAUUUCCUAUUAAAAACAUGAAUGAUUUAGCAUCUACAGAAUCCUUGCUUUUGAAUAAGCCUGAUGCAGAAAUUGUGGCGUAUCUGAAGCAAAAGAUUUCAAAGAGACCCCUAUCAAAAAUUUUGGAUUAAGAGAUUCCCUGCUCUUAAAAGUGAAUUGGGAUGGAGCCAAAAAAAAGUUGCAUUGAAGAAUUAUGCACUUUUCAAUAAAUUUCUUUACGGUAAUACAUAAUUUCAAUUCAUGUCAUCUAUUUUUUUAACAAGUUUAAUUUUUAGAGGCCUUAAAAGAUGAUUACUCAUACCCUGAUUUUGAGGCAAAGAUCAAAAAGGCGUUUCUCAAAUGUAAGGCUCAGUUCUACAGGAACACUUAUAAUAUAAAAAAUAAUA